AGGAUAAACGCUGGCGGCGUGCAGUGAGACAUGCAAGUCGAACGGACGACUCGGGCUUGCUCGAGUCGUUAGUGGCGAACGGCUGAGUAACGCGUAGGUGACCUGCCCCGAAGUGGGGAAUAACUGCCCGAAAGGGUGGCUAAUACCGCAUGUGGUCGCACGUUCACUCGUGCGAGUAAAGCCGCAAGGCGCUUCGGGAGGGGCCUGCGUCCGAUUAGCUCGUUGGUGGGGUAACGGCUCACCAAGGCGACGAUCGGUAGGUGGUCUGAGAGGACGAUCACCCAGACUGGGACUGAGGCACGGCCCAGACUCCUACGGGAGGCAGCAGUCGGGAAUUUUUGCUCAAUGGGCGAAAGCCUGAAGCAGCAACGCCGCGUGAGGGAUGACGGCCUUCGGGUUGUAAACCUCUUUUCUCAGGGACGAUGAUGACGGUACCUGAGGAUAAGCCACGGCAACUACGUGCCAGCAGCCGCGGUAA
rnacentral:rRNA from 1 species